UCCAGACUUUGAUUCUGGCUCAGGACGAACGCUGGCGGCGUGCUUAACACAUGCAAGUCGAACGGGGUGUUUAUUUCGGUAAACACCAAGUGGCGAACGGGUGAGUAACGCGUAAGCAAUCUACCUUCAAGAGGGGGACAACACUUCGAAAGGGGCGCUAAUACCGAAUGAAUGUAAGAGUAUCGCAUGAGACACUUACUAAAGGAGGCCUCUGAAAAUGCUUCCGCUUGAAGAUGAGCUUGCGUCUGAUUAGCUAGUUGGUGAGGGUAAAGGCCCACCAAGGCGACGAUCAGUAGCCGGUCUGAGAGGAUGAACGGCCACAUUGGGACUGAGACACGGCCCAGACUCCUACGGGAGGCAGCAGUGGGGAAUCUUCCGCAAUGGGCGAAAGCCUGACGGAGCAACGCCGCGUGAACGAUGAAGGUCUUAGGAUCGUAAAGUUCUGUUGUUAGGGACGAAGGGUAAGAAUCAUAAUAAGGUUUUUAUUUGACGGUACCUAACGAGGAAGCCACGGCUAACUACGUGCCAGCAGCCGCGGUAAUACGUAGGCGGCAAGCGUUGUCCGGAAUUAUUGGGCGUAAAGGGAGCGCAGGCGGGAAACUAAGCGGAUCUUAAAAGUGCGGGGCUCAACCCCGCGAUGGGGUCCGAACUGGUUUUCUUGAGUGCAGGAGAGGAAAGCGGAAUUCCCAGUGUAGCGGUGAAAUGCGUAGAUAUUGGGAAGAACACCAGUGGCGAAGGCGGCUUUCUGGACUGUAACUGACGCUGAGGCUCGAAAGCUAGGGUAGCGAACGGGAUUAGAUACCCCGGUAGUCCUAGCCGUAAACGAUGGAUACUAGGUGUGGGAGGUAUCGACUCCUUCCGUGCCGGAGUUAACGCAAUAAGUAUCCCGCCUGGGGAGUACGGCCGCAAGGUUGCAACUCAAAGGAAUUGACGGA
rnacentral:rRNA from 2 species